rnacentral:rRNA from 1 species
GACGAACGCUGGCGGCGCGCUUAACACAUGCAAGUCGAACGGAAAGGCCUGCUUUCCCUUGUGGAUUGCGGGUACUCGAGUGGCGAACGGGUGAGUAACACGUGAGUGAUCUGCCCCCAACUUGGGUAUAAGCCUGGGAAACUGGGUCUAAUUCCCGAUAGGACUGCAGGGUGGUGCCUGUGGUGGAAAACGAUUUUCUAGUGGUUGGGGAUGAGCUCGCGGCCUAUCAGCUUGUUGGUGGGGUAAUGGCCUACCAAGGCGGCGACGGGUAGCCGGCCUGAGAGGGGGGACGGCCGAAUUGGGACUGGGAUACGGCCCAGACGCCUACGGGAGGCAGCAGUGGGGAAUAAUGCACAAUGGGCGGAAGCCUGAUGCAGCGACGCCGCGUGGGGGAUGACGGGCUUCGGGUUGUAAACUCCUUUCGACCGCGAGGAAGCCACCUGGUUGGAAGGGUGGUGACGGUAGUGGUAGAAGAAGCACCGGCUAACUACGUG